GGGUUGUGAGGUUAAGCGACUAAGCGUACACGGUGGAUGCCCUGGCAGUCAGAGGCGAUGAAGGACGUGCUAAUCUGCGAAAAGCGCCGGCGAGGUGAUAUGAACCUUUGACCCGGCGAUGUCCGAAUGGGGAAACCCAGUGCAAUUCGUUGCACUAUCGUUAACUGAAUACAUAGGUUAACGAGGCGAACCGGGGGAACUGAAACAUCUAAGUACCCCGAGGAAAAGAAAUCAACCGAGAUUCCCCCAGUAGCGGCGAGCGAACGGGGAGGAGCCCAGAGUCUGAAUCAGCGUGUGUGUUAGUGGAAGCGUCUGGAAAGUCGCACGAUACAGGGUGAAAGUCCCGUACACGAAAGCACACAUGCUGUGAACUCGAAGAGUAGGGCGGGACACGUGGUAUCCUGUCUGAAUAUGGGGGGACCAUCCUCCAAGGCUAAAUACUCCUGACUGACCGAUAGUGAACCAGUACCGUGAGGGAAAGGCGAAAAGAACCCCGGCGAGGGGAGUGAAAAAGAACCUGAAACCGUGUACGUACAAGCAGUGGGAGCACCCUUCGGGGUGUGACUGCGUACCUUUUGUAUAAUGGGUCAGCGACUUAUAUUCUGUAGCAAGGUUAACCGAAUAGGGGAGCCGAAGGGAAACCGAGUCUUAACUGGGCGUUAAGUUGCAGGGUAUAGACCCGAAACCCGGUGAUCUAGCCAUGGGCAGGUUGAAGGUUGGGUAACACUAACUGGAGGACCGAACCGACUAAUGUUGAAAAAUUAGCGGAUGACCUGUGGCUGGGGUGAAAGGCCAAUCAAACCGGGAGAUAGCUGGUUCUCCCCGAAAGCUAUUUAGGUAGCGCCUCGUGAACUCAUCUUCGGGGGUAGAGCACUGUUUCGGCUAGGGGGUCAUCCCGACUUACCAACCCGAUGCAAACUGCGAAUACCGAAGAAUGUUAUCACGGGAGACACACGGCGGGUGCUAACGUCCGUCGUGAAGAGGGAAACAACCCAGACCGCCAGCUAAGGUCCCAAAGUCAUGGUUAAGUGGGAAACGAUGUGGGAAGGCCCAGACAGCCAGGAUGUUGGCUUAGAAGCAGCCAUCAUUUAAAGAAAGCGUAAUAGCUCACUGGUCGAGUCGGCCUGCGCGGAAGAUGUAACGGGGCUAAACCAUGCACCGAAGCUGCGGCAGCGGCGCUUAUGCGUUGUUGGGUAGGGGAGCGUUCUGUAAGCCGUUGAAGGUGUGCUGUGAGGCAUGCUGGAGGUAUCAGAAGUGCGAAUGCUGACAUAAGUAACGAUAAAGCGGGUGAAAAGCCCGCUCGCCGGAAGACCAAGGGUUCCUGUCCAACGUUAAUCGGGGCAGGGUGAGUCGACCCCUAAGGCGAGGCCGAAAGGCGUAGUCGAUGGGAAACAGGUUAAUAUUCCUGUACUUGGUGUUACUGCGAAGGGGGGACGGAGAAGGCUAUGUUAGCCGGGCGACGGUUGUCCCGGUUUAAGCAUGUAGGCGGAGGUUCCAGGUAAAUCCGGUACCUUUUAACGCUGAGGUGUGAUGACGAGGCACUACGGUGCUGAAGUAACAAAUGCCCUGCUUCCAGGAAAAGCCUCUAAGCUCCAGGUAACACGAAAUCGUACCCCAAACCGACACAGGUGGUCAGGUAGAGAAUACCAAGGCGCUUGAGAGAACUCGGGUGAAGGAACUAGGCAAAAUGGUGCCGUAACUUCGGGAGAAGGCACGCUGACAUGUAGGUGAAGCCCCUGCGGGUGGAGCUGAAGUCAGUCGAAGAUACCAGCUGGCUGCAACUGUUUAUUAAAAACACAGCACUGUGCAAACACGAAAGUGGACGUAUACGGUGUGACGCCUGCCCGGUGCCGGAAGGUUAAUUGAUGGGGUUAUCCUUAGGGAGAAGCUCUUGAUCGAAGCCCCGGUAAACGGCGGCCGUAACUAUAACGGUCCUAAGGUAGCGAAAUUCCUUGUCGGGUAAGUUCCGACCUGCACGAAUGGCGUAAUGAUGGCCAGGCUGUCUCCACCCGAGACUCAGUGAAAUUGAACUCGCUGUGAAGAUGCAGUGUACCCGCGGCAAGACGGAAAGACCCCGUGAACCUUUACUAUAGCUUGACACUGAACAUUGAGCCUUGAUGUGUAGGAUAGGUGGGAGGCUUUGAAGCGUGGACGCCAGUCUGCGUGGAGCCAACCUUGAAAUACCACCCUUUAAUGUUUGAUGUUCUAACCUGGCGCCGUAAUCCGGCGUGGGGACAGUGUCUGGUGGGUAGUUUGACUGGGGCGGUCUCCUCCUAAAGAGUAACGGAGGAGCACGAAGGUUGGCUAAUCCUGGUCGGACAUCAGGAGGUUAGUGCAAUGGCAUAAGCCAGCUUGACUGCGAGCGUGACGGCGCGAGCAGGUGCGAAAGCAGGUCAUAGUGAUCCGGUGGUUCUGAAUGGAAGGGCCAUCGCUCAACGGAUAAAAGGUACUCCGGGGAUAACAGGCUGAUACCGCCCAAGAGUUCAUAUCGACGGCGGUGUUUGGCACCUCGAUGUCGGCUCAUCACAUCCUGGGGCUGAAGUAGGUCCCAAGGGUAUGGCUGUUCGCCAUUUAAAGUGGUACGCGAGCUGGGUUUAGAACGUCGUGAGACAGUUCGGUCCCUAUCUGCCGUGGGCGCUGGAGAAUUGAGGGGGGCUGCUCCUAGUACGAGAGGACCGGAGUGGACGCAUCACUGGUGUUCGGGUUGUCAUGCCAAUGGCAUUGCCCGGUAGCUACAUGCGGAAGAGAUAAGUGCUGAAAGCAUCUAAGCACGAAACUUGCCCCGAGAUGAGUUCUCCCUGAGACCCAGAGUCUCCUGAAGGAACGUUAAAGACUAUGACGUUGAUAGGCCGGGUGUGUAAGCGCAGCGAUGCGUUGAGCUAACCGGUACUAAUGAACCGUGAGGCUUAACCUUACAACGCCGAAG
rnacentral:rRNA from 1 species